rnacentral:rRNA from 1 species
GAAAUGCGAUAAGUAAUGUGAAUUGCAGAAUUCAGUGAAUCAUCGAAUCUUUGAACGCACCUUGCGCUCCUUGGUAUUCCGAGGAGCAUGCCUGUUUGAGUGUCAUGGAAUCAUCAACUCUAUUUACUUUUGUGAAUAGGGCUUGGACUUGGAGGUUUUGCCGGUACUUGUGAUCGGCUCCUCUUGAAUGCAUUAGCUUGAACCUUUGUGGAUCAGCUUAUCGGUGUGAUAAUUGUCUACACCGUUACUGUGAAGCAUAUAUUAAAGGGCUCGGCUUCUAAUCGUCCUUUACGGGACAAUAACUUUGACCUUUGACCUCAAAUCAGGUAGGAUUACCCGCUGAACUUAA